UCCAGAGAUGGACUGGUGCCUUCGGGAACCGUGAGACAGGUGCUGCAUGGCUGUCGUCAGCUCGUGUUGUGAAAUGUUGGGUUAAGUCCCGCAACGAGCGCAACCCUUAUCCUUUGUUGCCAGCGGUCCGGCCGGGAACUCAAAGGAGACUGCCAGUGAUAAACUGGAGGAAGGUGGGGAUGACGUCAAGUCAUCAUGGCCCUUACGACCAGGGCUACACACGUGCUACAAUGGCGCAUACAAAGAGAAGCGACCU
rnacentral:rRNA from 1 species